CAAAUUGAGAGUUUGAUCCUGGCUCAGGAUGAACGCUGGCGGCGUGCCUAAUACAUGCAAGUCGAACGCUUUGUGGUUCAACUGAUUUGAAGAGCUUGCUCAGAUAUGACGAUGGACAUUGCAAAGAGUGGCGAACGGGUGAGUAACACGUGGGAAACCUACCUCUUAGCAGGGGAUAACAUUUGGAAACAGAUGCUAAUACCGUAUAACAAUGACAACCGCAUGGUUGUUAUUUAAAAGAUGGUUCUGCUAUCACUAAGAGAUGGUCCCGCGGUGCAUUAGCUAGUUGGUAAGGUAAUGGCUUACCAAGGCGAUGAUGCAUAGCCGAGUUGAGAGACUGAUCGGCCACAAUGGGACUGAGACACGGCCCAUACUCCUACGGGAGGCAGCAGUAGGGAAUCUUCCACAAUGGGCGAAAGCCUGAUGGAGCAACGCCGCGUGUGUGAUGAAGGGUUUCGGCUCGUAAAACACUGUUGUAAGAGAAGAAUGACAUUGAGAGUAACUGUUCAAUGUGUGACGGUAUCUUACCAGAAAGGAACGGCUAAAUACGUGCCAGCAGCCGCGGUAAUACGUAUGUUCCAAGCGUUAUCCGGAUUUAUUGGGCGUAAAGCGAGCGCAGACGGUUAUUUAAGUCUGAAGUGAAAGCCCUCAGCUCAACUGAGGAAUUGCUUUGGAAACUGGAUGACUUGAGUGCAGUAGAGGAAAGUGGAACUCCAUGUGUAGCGGUGAAAUGCGUAGAUAUAUGGAAGAACACCAGUGGCGAAGGCGGCUUUCUGGACUGUAACUGACGUUGAGGCUCGAAAGUGUGGGUAGCAAACAGGAUUAGAUACCCUGGUAGUCCACACCGUAAACGAUGAGUGCUAGGUGUUUGAGGGUUUCCGCCCUUAAGUGCCGCAGCUAACGCAUUAAGCACUCCGCCUGGGGAGUACGACCGCAAGGUUGAAACUCAAAGGAAUUGACGGGGACCCGCACAAGCGGUGGAGCAUGUGGUUUAAUUCGAAGCAACGCGAAGAACCUUACCAGGUCUUGACAUCCCUUGACAACUCCAGAGAUGGAGCGUUCCCUUUGGGGACAAGGUGACAGGUGGUGCAUGGUUGUCGUCAGCUCGUGUCGUGAGAUGUUGGGUUAAGUCCCGCAACGAGCGCAACCCUUAUUACUAGUUGCCAGCAUUUAGUUGGGCACUCUAGUGAGACUGCCGGUGACAAACCGGAGGAAGGUGGGGAUGACGUCAAAUCAUCAUGCCCCUUAUGACCUGGGCUACACACGUGCUACAAUGGCGUAUACAACGAGUUGCCAACCCGCGAGGGUGAGCUAAUCUCUUAAAGUACGUCUCAGUUCGGAUUGUAGGCUGCAACUCGCCUACAUGAAGUCGGAAUCGCUAGUAAUCGCGGAUCAGCACGCCGCGGUGAAUACGUUCCCGGGUCUUGUACACACCGCCCGUCACACCAUGAGAGUUUGUAACACCCAAAGCCGGUGGGGUAACCUUCGGGAGCCAGCCGUCUAAGGUGGGACAGAUGAUUAGGGUGAAGUCGUAACAAGGUAGCCGUAGGAGAACCUGCGGCUGGAUCACCUCCUUU
rnacentral:rRNA from 1 species